rnacentral:rRNA from 1 species
UACAGAGGUCUCAAGCGUUGUCCGGAAUUACUGGGCGUAAAGCGUGCGUAGACGGUUAUUUAAGUCGGAUGUGAAAGCCCCGGGCUCAACCUGGGAAUUGCAUUCGAGACUGAAUAGCUAGGGUGCGGUAGAGGGAAGCGGAAUUUCCGGUGUAGCGGUGAAAUGCGCAGAUAUCAGGAGGAACACCAGCGGCGAAGGCGGCGCUCUGGGCCGGUACUGACGCUGAGGAGCGAAAGCGUGGGUAGCAAACAGG